rnacentral:misc_RNA from 1 species
GAUGAAGAACGCAGCGAAAUGCGAUAAGUAAUGUGAAUUGCAGAAUUCAGUGAAUCAUCGAAUCUUUGAACGCACCUUGCGCUCCUUGGUAUUCCGAGGAGCAUGCCUGUUUGAGUGUCAUUAAAUUCUCAACCUCACCAGUUUUGUAACGAGACAGGUGAAGGCUUGGAUGUGGGGGUUUUGCAGGCUGCCUCAGUGCUGGUCUGCUCUCCUGAAAUGCAUUAGCGAGCUCAUAUUGAGCUUCCGUCUAUUGGUGUGAUAAUUAUCUACGCCGUGGAUUGGACUCAUGCUUGCUUCUAACCGUCCGCAAGGUCAAUUUACUUGACCAAUUUGACCUCAAAUCAGGUAGGACUACCCGCUGAACUUAAGCAUAUCAAUAAGCGGAGGA